rnacentral:tRNA from 1 species
UCCCUGGUGGUCCAGUGGCUGAGACGUCACGUUGUCGAUGCAGGGGGCCCAGGUUCGAUCCCUGGUCAGGGAG